rnacentral:rRNA from 1 species
AUACAUGUGAGUCGAGGGGCAGCGGAUCCCUCCGGGGAUGCCGGCGACCGGCGAACGGGUGAGUAACACGUAUGGAACCUACCCUUAACUGGGGAAUAGCCUUGAGAAAUCGAGGGUAAUACCCCAUAUCAUCUGAAAGAGGCAUCUCUUUCAGAUGAAAGCUCCGGCGGUUAAGGAUGGCCAUGCGGUCCAUUAGCUUGUUGGUGAGAUAACCGCUCACCAAGGCAACGAUGGAUAGCUGAUCUGAGAGGAUGAUCAGCCACAUUGGCACUGAGACACGGGCCAAACUCCUACGGGAGGCAGCAGUAGGGAAUCUUGGUCAAUUGGCGAAAGCCAGAACCAGUCAUGCCGCGUGCAGGAUGAAGGCCCUACGGGUCGUAAACUGCUUUUAUUCGGGAAGAAAAAGUCUGUUUCCACAGAUCCUGACGGUACCGACUGAAUAAGGACCGGCCAACUCCGUGCCAGCAGCCGCGGUAAUACGGAGGGUCCAAGCGUUAUCCGGAUUCACUGGGUUUAAAGGGUGCGCAGGCGGCCAAGUAAGUCAGUGGUGAAAGCCUUCGGCUCAACCGGAGAAUUGCCAUUGAAACUACUUGGCUUGAGUGCGGCAGAGGUAGGCGGAAUGUAGCAUGUAGCGGUGAAAUGCAUAGAUAUGCUACAGAACACCGAUAGCGAAAGCAGCUUACCACACUGUAACUGACGCUGAGGCACGAAAGCAUGGGUAGCAAACAGGAUUAGAUACCCUGGUAGUCCAUGCCGUAAACUUUGAACACUCGGAGUUUGCCACCUAGUGGUAAGCUCCCUAGCGAAAGCGUUAAGUGUUCCACCUGGGGAGUAUGGUCGCAAGGC